UGCAUGUGAGUGGGCGAGUGGGGAAGCGCGAGAGGAGGGGUGAGGGAAGGAGGGGGUUUCGCGCGCACAGCCGCACUGCUCUUCUCUGCUCGCGCCGCGGAUUUCCACUGGAUUUGUUUCCUCACAUCACUCCGUCUCGCAUCUCGCCGUGUUUCAUACUCUAGCCCAAGAGCAAGCAGAAGAGCUGGAAAAGGGGACGCGGGAGUCAAACUGAAAGAGAAGGAAACUCCACAUCAACACCACCUUUCCAAGAUGAGCGAGGUGAGUGAAUGAAUCACGGGGUUGUCAAUGCAGCAGACGCAUCAGUGACUGCAGCGUGGACACACAGGGGAGGCCAACAGCAGCCAAAUGUCCGCCACAGACAACAAAGAAAAGGCAUCUGACUCUGCAGGAAAACCUGAGCAGGAGGAAGAGAUCGAUAUCGACCUGGAAGCCCCGGAGACGGAGAAAGCAGCCCUCGCCAUCCAGAACCAGUUCAGACGCUUUCAAAAGAAGAAGAAAUAGACAUACUUGAACAAUUAGGACAUCUUACACAUGGUUUAGGAAGAAAAUGUGAGGAGGGGUAGAAAGCAAGAGAAAGAGAGAGAAGCAUAACUUAAUCGAGCAUGAAAUGUAACUAGUCUCCCCUCUGCUGCUCCUAAAGCCACAUCUACCCCCCGCAAAAAAACCCUCAUCUUUAACUUCCCGCUUUAUCUUUGUCCCAUACGAGAAGCCAUUCUGAGAAAAACAAUCUUCUUCUUUCUUUCACACAUAGAGUAAGCACAGCACACGACAGUCGCUUCAGAAAAGCACAGUGCAAAUGUCCACCUUACAUCUUCUCUUGUCUCUUCUUUCCAUUUCUCGCUGCAGUUUUAAGUGAAGUGUGGUACAAAAUCUCAGGUUUAGUUCGGUUUCAGACAGUGGAAACCAUGAGUCAGUUGGGACUUGACUCCCAGAAUGAUGCCAAAAUGGUGACAACUUACGAACACUAGCACGAUUGAGUAGUACUGACAAGCGUCUAGUUCCUGUUCUAGUCAAAAAACCUUAACCCAAAAGGUAUGCAAUUUCCUUACCUAGCUGAAUUAUUGAUGCACCUGCGGUUAGCACAAAGAAUCAAGAGACAACAAGAGCCAAGAGGACCUGGAAGAAGACAGGACAAACUGCUUCAGAAAGUGUCUACACAGAAGGAUAAAAGCUGCAGCCAGUGGAAGAGAUGUCUAAAUACAAUGUAUUUGUGACAUUUGAUCAGAAUAGUAUGUAGAGCGAGUGCCAGUGGCCCCUGAAAUGAAAUCAUUGAUCAGUUUUAGCCAGUCAUCGGACAGGAUCAGGACAUGCUAUUGUGUUACAACAGUGGUAAUGUGAGCCGAGGCGCAUACGAAGUAUUGACUGACUGCGAUUCCCAACACACAACCACAGAUUUAAAGUCACUGGAGAGAUCAGACAAGAGAAACAUGUGGAUGAUGUGAGAAGGAAACAAAAACGCACAAGAUUGUUCACCACGAAUAGUAACUCCAAAUCCCCAGUGCACAACUUCUGGGCAUUCACACUUUUCCUCGCAUUUAAAUCUGCAUGUGGCACACUGACCUGCUCUGAAAAGCCAGGCCUCUAUCUACGCCUCAGUCUCUUGUCUCAAACUAAUUAAUGCUCUAUUAAUUAUUAUUGGAAUGUAACCUCUUUUUCUAUUUAAAGGAGACAAUCUCUUUGCUAAGACUCAGCUUUGUAUGAAAGCUACCUUCAUAACCAAAUGGGCCAAUUUACAUAGUCAAAAUUCCCAGUCAGACACCAUUUAUGGUAAAAUUCAAAAGAGUUAAAAAGCAAAUUCACCCCCAACCCCAUUGGUUCUCCUUUUGUUUUUACCUUUCAUUAAUUCUUUGUACCCACAAGACCGCUUUCAUUUGUCCCUCUGUGGUUUUUUUAUGGCCCAUUUUAAGCAUGGCCUCAUUCUGCUUCCCCUGAAGGCUUUUCAAUCCUCAAUCUAUCUUGUAUGGCAUGUCAACUGGGAUUUUGAAGCCCGUUUUAGAGUUUGAUGGAAUAUAUGACGGAGCAGCUGUGGUCCUUACUGAUGUCAUAGAUACUAUAUUACAACUAGAACAUAAUAUUAUUCAACAUAGAGACAAAAUGAAUAGGGUACUGUAUAUUGAAAGCAUGCAGCUGUAUAUCUUAAACACCCUGCUUUAUGAUAUUUCUCAGUUCCAUUCAAUAGCCUUGAUUCUAUCCUGCACUCGAGUGAUUGACAUCGGUCUUGUUCCAAUUCUUCAGCCGUCUGCUUUCUCCUUCUCGCCCUUCACUCCAAGCUAAUCCGGUUAAGGGCUCAGAAAUGAGACGUGAUAGAAUUUGGCUCACAGAGAAAAGAACCUCACCAUUCAUUGUGCGCGUAGUACUACAGCCACAUUUUGCAUGUUUCUAUACCUUUCCAGCCAGCUGAGGGUUAGAGAAGGGAUGGAAGGGUUGACAUUUUUCUUGAAAUCUGCUGGAACCUUUAGCAAUAACGACAAUGCUAUGAGAGACAGGAGCAUCUCCAAGUGUUGGAGACAGUGACAGACCUCUCCGCAUCCUCUGCAGGGAAUCCACCGAAGUCAAGAAUCGCCAUCAAAUGCAUCCCGAACCCAGCCUUGCUUAUCUGCUAACCUCUUUAAACAAACCAGGUUGCAUCAUUCUCGUAUUGCUUGUAUUCUUUAAUCACUGGGCUGAACAUCCGAUUGAACAAGAUAGACAUCAGUCACACUGUAAUCUGCCCUUGUUAGUCCUGUUUGAAUUUGACUGAGAAUCCAUUGUUGUGUUCUCUUAUAACUCUGGUUCACAUUGAGGUGCUGCAAGGGUGUGGACUGGACAUUUUGGGGUUUACAGUAUGUUGCUGCUUUUUCUGUGUGUCCUAGAGAAGAAAUGUGGAAAUGCUUGUGACAAAUCAUCUUUAAAUUACUGUACUCUAUGUGUGGAGGAGUGAGAGAUACAGCACUCAAACAGCCCUCUGUUCUUUUAACUUUGCACAAUUAAAA
ensembl:lncRNA